UACGAGGGGGGGCAAGCGUUGUUCGGAUUCAUUGGGCGUAAAGGGCGCGUAGGUGGCGGCUUAAGCGUGCGGUGAAAGCUCGGGGCUCAACCCCGAGUCGGCCGUGCGAACUGAGUCGCUUGAGCACUGUAGAGGCAGGCGGAAUUCCUGGUGUAGCGGUGAAAUGCGCAGAUAUCAGGAAGAACACCCGUGGCUAAGGCGGCUCUCUAGUACGGUACUGACGCUGAGGAGCGAAAGCAUGGGGAGCGAACAGG
rnacentral:rRNA from 1 species